UGAACAGCGGAACUCCGGAAGUCAAUCGCCUCGGAACUCAACAUAUUCGGUUUUCAACGCGAACUGUCUUUGUCCCGGUUCUCGGGCAAAACUUCGGAAACCGAUCCGACUCACGUGGCUAUUGUAAACUAAAUACAGUUCGUUCCACCUGCUGCUAGUCAGCGUUGGUUGGGAUAAUUGUUUGGCCGUUUGUAGACCACUGCAAGGCUGGACACGGGUCCCAAGAAAGAUCCGGGAGAAAAGCGAAAUAGGUUCAUUUUGAAGCAAUAGAGAGUGAUGACCAGCCGACGCCCCCCUGCACCUCCUCCAUAGAUUCAGCACCUCAAUGUCAAGCUCUUGAGGACUCCGAGGCCCGAACAAGUGGCAACGCUGCAUGAGGAGCCACUUGGGGAACAAGUCUAGUGUGCUAAUCUUCACACUCCAACGACCUAUUCUGCGUUCAAGUCAACUAUGAGAAAUGAGAAGAAUGAGAUUGAAGAACAGAUUGGCUGUCUCCAGGCAGCCAGCCAGCUAGCGUUCCCCAUAUGGCCUCUGAGGUGCCCAGUGAUGGCCGCUGUGCCUUCACUUAUGGAUUGCAGCGAAAAAGAUGAGUUCCACAUCCAGCUCGCUAUGCUUUUUUUGCCUCCAUCUGUGCUCUAAUCGCCUGGACGCCAUCCCGAGUCAAGCCAGUCAAGUGACAUGGAAUCAAUAGAGUCCAACUCGAAGGGGGCAAAGACAUCAUUGAGGUUCAUUGAAAGCCAGAGCGUGCUUCUCCAAAGCUUCCAGGAAAUGUUUGUUAUUAUAUAAUAUGAGUA